AUUCUAUUCAUUCAACACAUACAACACCUCUGGCAAGAGUGACAGACAUUAGGUUCCCACACCUAUCGGAUCUCUUUAAAGGACUGGACAGACAUUAGGUUGCCACACGUAUUGGAUCUCUUUAAAGGACUGGACAGACAUUAGGUUGCCACACGUAUUGGAUCUCUUUAAAGGACUGGACAGACAUUAGGUUGCCACACGUAUUGGAUCUCUUUAAAGGACUGGACAGACAUUAGGUUGCCACACCUAUUGGAUCUCUUUAAAGGACUGGACAGACAUUAGGUUCCAACACCUAUUGGAUCUCUUUAAAGGACUGGACAGACAUUAGGUUGCCACACCUAUUGGAUCUCUUUAAAGGACUGGACAGACAUUAGGUUGCCACACCUAUUGGAUCUCUUUAAAGGACUGGACAGACAUAAGGUUGCCACACCUAUUGGAUCUCUUUAAAGGACUGGACAGACAUUAGGUUGCCACACGUAUUGGAUCUCUUUAAAGGACUGGACAGACAUUAGGUUGCCACACCUAUUGGAUCUCUUUAAAGGACUGGACAGACAUUAGGUUCCAACACCUAUUGGAUCUCUUUAAAGGACUGGACAGACAUUAGGUUGCCACACCUAUUGGAUCUCUUUAAAGGACUGGACAGACAUUAGGUUGCCACACGUAUUGGAUCUCUUUAAAGGACUGGACAGACAUUAGGUUGCCACACCUAUUGGAUCUCUUUAAAGGACUGGACAGACAUUAGGUUGCCACACCUAUUGGAUCUCUUUAAAGGACUGGACAGACAUUAGGUUCCCACACCUAUCGGAUCUCUUUAAAGGACUGGACAGACAUUAGGUUGCCACACGUAUUGG